AGCGAAACGGGAAGAGCCCAAACCAACAAGCUUGCUUGUUGGGGUUGUAGGACACUCUAUACGGAGUUACAAAGGACGACAUUAGACGAAUCAUCUGGAAAGAUGAAUCAAAGAAGGUAAUAAUCCUGUAGUCGAAAAUGUUGUCUCUCUUGAGUGGAUCCUGAGUACGACGGAGCACGUGAAAUUCCGUCGGAAUCUGGGAGGACCAUCUCCUAAGGCUAAAUACUCUCUAGUGACCGAUAGUGAACCAGUACCGUGAGGGAAAGGUGAAAAGCACCCCGGAAGGGGAGUGAAAUAGAACCUGAAACCGUGUGCUUACAAGUAGUCAGAGCCCGUUAAUGGGUGAUGGCGUGCCUUUUGUAGAAUGAACCGGCGAGUUACGAUUUGAUGCAAGGUUAAGCAGUAAAUGUGGAGCCGUAGCGAAAGCGAGUCUGAAUAGGGCGUUUAGUAUUUGGUCGUAGACCCGAAACCAGGUGAUCUACCCUUGGUCAGGUUGAAGUUCAGGUAACACUGAAUGGAGGACCGAACCGACUUACGUUGAAAAGUGAGCGGAUGAACUGAGGGUAGCGGAGAAAUUCCAAUCGAACCUGGAGAUAGCUGGUUCUCUCCGAAAUAGCUUUAGGGCUAGCCUCAAGUGAUGAUUAUUGGAGGUAGAGCACUGUUUGGACGAGGGGCCCCUCUCGGGUUACCGAAUUCAGACAAACUCCG
rnacentral:rRNA from 1 species